rnacentral:lncRNA from 10 species
UGAAUGAGUGGAAUCAGUGACUCAGACAAAGCCACUGUUGCACAACUGUAUGCAUGCACAGUGAACUCUGCAGACUCUGCAGAUGGUUCCUGUAAAUAGCGCUUAAAACCACAGUGGAAAAGCCACAUGCUCCUGAUACACUUGGGGGGACAUAAAGGGAAACCCACACACCCAAGGAGGAGGGCUCUGGCCAUGCAAGGCUGAAGGCCCAGUGUACUGAUAUGAAAACUGAAGCUCAGACAGAAGAGGCGACGUUGCUUUCUUAACCACUGGAUUUGCAGUGCUGUGGUUCUCAGAAGAGGCCAGGACAGGUUAAUCCACUCACUUGGGAGGCAGAAGGAAAUCUUUCCAUAUCACCCAGGCUGAUCUUCAACGAACUGGACUCAAGUAUUCCUCCCACCUCGGCCUCCAGGGUUGAAUGUACAGCUGGUAUAAAAAUGGUGCUUUGUCGUCAUGAAGAAGGUGUAUUCUGGGAUCAAACCACCUGGCUGGAGAUGCUUACUAACCUCAGUUUCUUCAUCUGACCUUACCUUUCUAAAAGAAUAAGAAGAAGAUGAUACAUAUUCCUCUAAAGUCCCAACAGGAACCUUUUCCCCUCACUCCCUCCCCAGAGAUGUGUAUCAUUUCCAUGAGUGUCUGUACUUUUACAACAUGUGCAUAUUAAUAAACAAAAUAUGACAAAUUAUUUUGUCUUAAUAUUUGCAUAAAUCUAGCCAUACUCUACACCACUUUUGCAACUUUCACUAUUAUAUAUUUUGAAGAUUAUCCGUGUUUAUGCACAUAAGUUUAUCAUUUUAACUGUUGAAUAGUGUUUCAUUAUAUGAAUUAACCAUAAUUCAUCUAUUUCCCUGAGUGACAAUUAGGUUUCUUUUUGUUUUUAUGCUCUGAUGAACAAUCUUGCAAUUAUUAUCUUUGUAUAUGUCUUCAUGUAUAAGAAAUUCUCCAGGGUAGACACUUAGAAGUAAAGGGUCUGACUCAGAGAGUCUGUGUAUUUUAAAAUGUAUUGGUUAUUGUCAAAUUGUUCCUCAAAGUAGAUGUACCAAUUUACAUUCCUACAGUGGUAUAUAACAGUUUUUUUUUCUCCACAUCCUCUUCAACACUCGUCAUUACCAG